rnacentral:tRNA from 1 species
GCCGGGGUAGCUCAGCUGGUUAGAGCACUUGAUUGUGGAUCAAGGGGCCGGCGGUUCAAAUCCGCCCCCCGGUA